CAGUUAAAAAGCUCGUAGUUGAAUUUCGGGGUUAGUAGGUUGGUCAUGCCUCUGGUAUGUACUGGUCUCACUGAUUCCUCCUUCCUGAUGAGCCGUAAUGCCAUUAAUUUGGUGUUGCGGGGAAUUUGGACUGUUACUUUGAAAAAAUUAGAGUGUUUAAAGCAAGCUAACGCUUGAAUACAUUAGCAUGGAAUAAUGAAAUAGGACGUUCGAUCCUAUUUUGUUGGUUUCUAGGAUUGACGUAAUGAUUAAUAGGGAUAGUUGGGGGCAUUAGUAUUCAAUUGUCAGAGGUGAAAUUCUUGGAUUUAUUGAAGACUAACUACUGCGAAAGCAUUUGCCAAGGAUGUUUUCAUUAAUCAAGAACGAAAGUUAGGGGGAUCGAAGACGAUCAGAUACCGUCGUA
rnacentral:rRNA from 1 species